AGAAAAUAAACACACUCCCUUUUAAAAUGUUUACAUUUUGUUUGCAGUUACAACCCCAAUUGGGAAAAAGUUUUAGACAGUAUGGGAAAUGGAAAUAAAAAACAAAGAGGAGUGAUGUGGAAAUGUACUUUGACUUGUAUUUAAACAGAACACGUAUAAAGACGAGGUAUUUGAUUUGUUUUAUCUAAUCAACUUCAUAGUUUUCUGAAGAUAAACGAUUAUUUUGACAUUGAUUCAUGCAAACACGUACGAAAUAUGUUGGGACAGGGGCAGUUUAAGACUAAUAGCGGUGUGAGAAGUUGAAAUAAGAAGGUGAUGUAAAACAAGUGAGGCGAUUGUCUAAUCAUACUAUAUAAGGAGCCUCCAAAAAACUCCUUCAAGAGCGAGGCGAUUGUCUAAUCAUACUAUAUAAGGAGCCUCCAAAAAACUCCUUCAAGAGCGAGGCGGGUCGAGGCUCGCUGAUCUGCCAACAGACGCGUCAGAGAAUAAUCCAAAACUUUGAGAAGAACAUUCCCCAAAGAGAAAUCAGUAGGAUUUUCA
ensembl:lncRNA